UUGAUAUGGGGGUUAACUGAGCUCCAAAACGUGGGAUACGAAAAAGAAUUAAAUGUCAUAUCUAUGUAGCAUUCUCAUCUCCAUAGUGGCAGCACUGGCAACAGAAGUUGCUUGCAAGGAGGACAGUUUACCGGGAUAGCACGUUGUAGGACGCAUACAGAUGGCAGCAAGAAUUGUAAACAUGAUUUGUUUUGUAGAAGAAAUGAUAUCAACGGGAAUUGACAGUGAGUCAUGUAUGAACCACAUAGAUUCAACUGCGAAAGACAUAAUGUACAAUCAUGCAUAUGAAGAAUUGUUUGCAUUUGACGUUGGUCCAGAAAAUCUAUUUAAAAGGCAACAAGGUGCUGUAAAAAAAUAUAUAUCUUUCUAGAUAUAUUGAGAAAGCUCAUAUAAGCAAGUUUCAAUGCAAAAAUUAAAGAAGGAAUGUAACAAACUAAGGGCUGACAAAAGGAAAUGUCACAGAAAUGGUGAUACUGCGUUAAAGGAUUUUCGGAUUCAUUGGGUACAUAUGUGAAUAAAAAACCAACUGAAGAGGAAACUGCAGAAUUAGAAGUAAUAUUAUGUAAAAGAAGCAGAAAAAGAAAUCCAUUCAAGAGAACACUGCAUUACAUACUAUUAUCUUAUGAUAACUUUUAAAUAUGUAUAUCAUUUGAAUAACAAGUAGAGAUUAUAUAGUGAUAAAGAUAGACAUAUCAUUUUUCUAUGCACCAGAGAAUGUUGAGGUAAAUUUACUCCAACAGGUGCUUCAUAUUACAAGUACAAAUUCAUAUUUGGGAGAAACAUAUAGAGGGUAUUUCACAGAAUAGGUGGUUCCUACAUACCAUGCAUUUAUUGCUUUUUAGUAGCAUAAAAUGUAAUGGUGAAGGAAGAUAUCCGUCCGGGUAAAAUAACAUACCAGCAGUUCUACCUUCUUCUAAUCGAAAAUGGCUAGCAUGCCAAUAUAUAAAUAAUAAAAUUAUUACAUUUUCUCCAUUAAGCAGAUUCAAAAUGAAUUGUAAAAAGAUAUUUACGGACCACGUGGCUCCUGCUUAUGUGUGCAGUUUGAAUGUUUCUCCUGCCAUGAGGUAUGGGCUUGGAAAACAGCAAAAAAAUGAAAAGCACAUGUUGGUUUCUGUACCAAUAUAUUAUACAUCUUUGUGAAACUUAAAAAGUAGUAACAUUCGGAUGAGACGGACACGUAAAAUAUUGAAAUUAAGUAUAUACAAAGAUUAAGUAUUUAAUCGACGGAGAUUUUAGUAUUCCUUUGAUGUAAUACAUAUUGUAUAUAUUGUUUUUAUGAAUGUUUGUAUUUUUGUAACACAUUAAAUGCAAAAAUAGGAAAGUUAUAUAGAAUAGA